AUUAAAGUGUCUGGGUUGCAAUCAGGUGAUGUUGAUUAGAGUUCUGCAGGUCUUGGGAC
rnacentral:tRNA from 1 species